rnacentral:rRNA from 1 species
AACGAACGCUGGCGGCAGGCUUAACACAUGCAAGUCGAGCGCCCCGCAAGGGGAGCGGCAGACGGGUGAGUAACGCGUGGGAAUCUACCCAUCUCUACGGAAUAACGCAGGUAAACGUGUGCUAAUACCGUAUACGUCCUUCGGGAGACAGAUUUAUCGGAGAUGGAUGAGCCCGCGUUGGAUUAGCUAGUUGGUGGGGUAAAGGCCUACCAAGGCGACGAUCCAUAGCUGGUCUGAGAGGAUGAUCAGCCACACUGGGACUGAGACACGGCCCAGACUCCUACGGGAGGCAGCAGUGGGGAAUAUUGGACAAUGGGCGCAAGCCUGAUCCAGCCAUGCCGCGUGAGUGAUGAAGGCCCUAGGGUUGUAAAGCUCUUUCACCGGUGAAGAUAAUGACGGUAACCGGAGAAGAAGCCCCGGCUAACUUCGUGCCAGCCGCCGCCGUAAUAC